GGUAGACACCAAGCAGACAUUGUAAUCUUGCACCCUUCCGGUGAAGACAAAGCAGCGUGCAUGCAUGAUCAUGUAUGCAAAAUAAUGACGUAUUACGUAUAGUAAAUGACCUUGCAUAAUCCCGUGAGUGGAUUAUAUGACUAAACAUUUUUCAAGUGCAUCGAUAAACUGCACUCUUUAACAUCGGAAGCCAACUUUAACGUGCAUUGGGAAUAUAUUCGCAUCUGAUUUUAGCCACGAAGUAGGUAUGUUGGAUCCACUGAAUACGACAGCGUUCAAUGUUUCCUCUGGUGAGCAGGAGAUCGAGAAUUGUUUCAUGACAUACAUCGUUCGUAAGCCAUCGACAUCGUAUAUUAUAAACAGCAUAUUUGGUUGCAUCGUAAACGCCAUCUUAGCAAUUCUAGGGACAUUUCUGAAUGCUCUGGUCGUGGCCGUUUUCUGGAAGACACCGAAAUUACGAAACAAGGUGACCUAUUUUAUGAUAAUGCUCUUAUCUUGUAUUGACAUGUGUGUGACAAUAAUCGUCCAUCCGCUUCAUUUGGUCAAUUCGAUAGCUGAGAUUACCCAGACUUCGCAGUGCAGUUACAAAAUGGUUUACCAAACGUCAGCAGUUAUGUUAUCAGGGAUGUCAUAUCUUACAUUUUUUGUUAUGAAUAUCGAGAGAUACAUGUCAAUUUGUCGACCAUUUUACCAUAUGAGAAACGUGACUAAAGAGAGAUGUUUCAUACUAAUGGUAUGUCUCUUGCCGAUUUCCAUAGGGACAGGAAUUGCUCCCAUAUUUGGCGUAGACAUUCAACCUUUUGUCACAGCCCUUGCAGUGUUAAUUCUAGGAGGAACUUUUUUUAUAUAUCUGUCAAUAUAUAAAGUGGCCAAAAAAGCACGAACUUCACGAUUACGUUCAUCAAGUCGUACUGGCCAAGACGCGUUCUCAGUCACAGUAGAAGAAACAGUUACACUUGAAUCACGUGACUCCACUAGACCAAGGAAAGCAGUCUCACUCUUUCACGAUUUACAACUUGCAAAAAUGUAUGUAAUUGUAGUUUUCUCUACCAUCCUCCUAAAUCUACCAAAUGCGCUAGUUUUAGCUUUGUUUAGUGAGCGAGUCGAGACUCUAAAUGGAGUAGUUCAAGCUAAAAUCUGGACACUAACAUUGGUUGCAAUGAACUCAACUUUCAAUUCAGUUGUUUUCUUCUGGGGCAAUGGAAGACUACGAAGUGAAGGUUGGAGACUGUGCAAAAAAUGUUUCAGAUUUUGAACGAGUGAACACUAUAAUGAACGAAUAUAAUGAACAAUUAUAAUGAACGAGUGAACAUUAGUAUUGAAAAUACCCUUGUAGUUUUAAUAGUAACACUCCGGGGAACUCGGUUAUGAAGGCUCUGACAUGCAGCCAGAGGCAGAUAUUGGUAUGUAUUACACACCUUAUCGAACCGACGCGAGUUUUCAGGAAAACAGCACUCACGUCAGCACGUGAUAACGUGUGUAAUGAGUAAGGCUGUAAUAGAACUUUAAAACCAUUCCGAGCUUCUUUUACUGCUCGCAAUGACUGUAAACUGUACUGUAUAUACAAAUGUAUAAAUAAAUAAUGAAAAUGUAAGAAUAUACAAUAAUACAAAGUUUAAUUUUCUUGUA
rnacentral:lncRNA from 1 species